rnacentral:rRNA from 1 species
GAUGAACGCUGGCGGCGUGCCUAAUACAUGCAAGUCGAGCGAACAGACGAGGAGCUUGCUCCUCUGACGUUAGCGGCGGACGGGUGAGUAACACGUGGAUAACCUACCUAUAAGACGGGGAUAACUUCGGGAAACCGGAGCUAAUACCGGAUAAUAUAUUGAACCGCAUGGUUCAAUAGUGAAAGACGGUUUUGCUGUCACUUAUAGAUGGAUCCGCGCCGCAUUAGCUAGUUGGUAAGGUAACGGCUUACCAAGGCAACGAUGCGUGGCCGACCUGAGAGGGUGAUCGGCCACACUGGAACUGAGACACGGUCCAGACUCCUACGGGAGGCAGCAGUAGGGAAUCUUCCGCAAUGGGCGAAAGCCUGACGGAGCAACGCCGCGUGAGUGAUGAAGAUCUUCGGAUCGUAAAACUCUGUUAUUAGGGAAGAACAAAUGUGUAAGUAACUAUGCACGUCUUGACGGUACCUAAUCAGAAAGCCACGGCUAACUACGUG